rnacentral:rRNA from 1 species
AUUGAACGCUGGCGGCAGGCCUAACACAUGCAAGUCGAGCGAGCGGCGGACGGGUGAGUAAUGUAUGGGAAACUGCCUGAUGGAGGGGGAUAACUACUGGAAACGGUGGCUAAUACCGCAUACCAUCGGAUGAACCCAAAUGGGAUUAGCUAGUAGGUGGGGUAAAGGCUCACCUAGGCGACGAUCACUAGCUGGUCUGAGAGGAUGACCAGCCACACUGGGACUGAGACACGGUCCAGACUCCUACGGGAGGCAGCAGUGGGGAAUAUUGCACAAUGGGCGAAAGCCUGAUGCAGCCAUGCCGCGUGUAUGAAGAAGGCCUUAGGGUUGUAAAGUACUUUCAGCGGGGAGGCGUUACCCGCAGAAGAAGCACCGGCUAACUCCGUGCCAGCAGCCGCGGUAAUAC